GCACUUGAGUCUUUCCUGUUCCAGUUGCCUGGUGCUGGUCGGGGGCAGACAGUGCUACAUUAUGAGCAAAGAAAACCUAGAGGUGUUGUCUUCCAUUUGUCCUGGGGCCUGUCUCUACAGCUCUGCCACAUUU
ensembl:snoRNA